GGCCCGGUGACUUGAGCGAGGAGCCCGAACCCGAUCCCAUCUCGAACUCGGCCGUUAAACUCCUCAGCGCUGAUGGUACUGUGUCGCAAGACCCGGGAGAGUAGGUCGUUGCCGGGCC
rnacentral:rRNA from 1 species